UGCGCCAACAGUCCACUCCUUCCUAGUGCUGAGGCCCCCAUCACAUGAGCACAACUGUUUCUUGUGUGUGAUGUGUUGUUCUCUGGCUGUGCACUGCCAAAAAAGACAUCAUUAAAAAAAAUUUAAAUAUAAUGUAAGACCUGCCUUGUCUUAGGAAACGUUUUUCUGGCAGUGGCUCACACCUAUAAUCCCAAUACUCUGGGAGGCUGAGGCAGGAGGACUGCUUGAGCCCAGGAGUUUGGGACCAGCCUGGGCAAGAGGGUGAAACCCUGUCUCUAAAAAUUAGCCAGGCAUGGUGGCUCACACCUGUAGUCUCAGCUCUUAGGGAGGUUGAGGUGGGAGGACUGCUGGAGCCCAGGAGGUGGAGGCUGCAGUGAGCCGAGAUCACACCACUGCACUCCAGCCUGGGCAGCAUGGCAAAACUCUGUCUCUACCAAGAAAAAAACAAAAAAUUAACAGAAGGAAAAACAAAAGGGCUUUCUUAUCAAAAAUACACUUUAAGGAACAAAUUUAUCAUAUUAAGUUGGUGCAAAAGUAAUCGUGGCUUUUACCAUUGAAAGCAAUAGCAAAAACCGCAAUUACUUUUGCACCAACCUAAUAUUAUUUUCUAAUGACAAACUUGGAAAUAACUGUCAUUGUUCUCUAAAAAGAACAGCCUAAAAAUAAAGCAGCAGCCCAUUUACUUCUAUGCCAGUUCUUUUAGCAUUUGGUUAUUUAAACCGGCAGUCCCUAACCUUUUUGGCACCAGGGACUGGUUUCACGGAAGACACUUUUUCCACUGACAAGUGUGGGGAUGGUUUGGAGACGAAACGGUUCCAUCUCAGAUCAUCAGUAUUAGAUUCUCAUAAGCGGGGCAUAACCUAGAUCCUUCGCAUGCGCAGUUCACGACAGGAUUCCACUCCUAUGAGAAUCUAAUGCCACCACUGAUCUGACAGGAGGCGAGGCUCACACAGCAAUGAUAUGACAGGGGGCGGAGCUCACACAGCAAUGAUAUGACAGGGGGCGGAGCUCACACAGUAAUGAUAUGACAGGGGGCGGAGCUCACACAGUAAUGAUAUGACGGGGGCGGAGCUCACACAGUAAUGCUCUGGCAGGGGGCAGAGCUCACAGUAAUGCUCUGACGGGGGCGGAGCUCACACAGUAAUGAUGACGGGGGCGGAGCUCACACAGUAUUGAUGACAGGGGGCAGAGCUCACAGUAAUGCUCUGGCAGGGGGGCGGAGCUCACACAGUAAUGCUCUGGCAGGGGGCGGAGCUCACAGUAAUGCUCUGACGGGGGCGGAGCUCACACAGUAAUGAUGAUGGGGGCGGAGCUCACACAGUAAUGAUGACAGGGGGCAGAGCUCACAGUAAUGCUCUGGCAGGGGGCGGAGCUCACAGUAAUGCUCUGGCAGGGGGCGGAGCUCAGUAAUGAUCUGAUGGGGGCAGGGCUCACACAGUAAUGCUGACAAUGGGUGGAGCUCACACAGUAAUGCUCUGGCAGGGGGCGGAGCUCACAGUAAUGCUCUGGCAGGGGGCGGAGCUCACACAGUAAUGCUCCGGCCGGGGGAGGAGCUCACACAGUAAUGAUAUGACAGGGGGCGGAGCUCACACAGUAAUGAUAUGACAGGGGGUGGAGCUCACACAGUAAUGAUAUGACGGGGCGGAGCUCACAUAGUAAUGAUCACAGGGGGCGGAGCUCACACAGUAAUGCUCUGCCAGGGGGCGGAGCUCACACAGUAAUGCUCUGGCAGGGGACGGAGCUCACACAGUAAUACUCUGGCAGGGGACGGAGCUCACACAGUAAUGCUCUGGCAGGGGGCGGAGCUCAGUAAUGUUCUGGCAGGGGGCGGAGCUCAC
rnacentral:lncRNA from 1 species